rnacentral:rRNA from 1 species
UACGGGGAGCAGCAGUGGGGAAUAUUGCACAAUGGGGGAAACCCUGAUGCAGCCAUGCCGCGUGUGUGAAGAAGGCCUUCGGGUUGUAAAGCACUUUCAGUAGGGAGGAAGGUAGUGUAGUUAACACCUGCAUUAUUUGACGUUACCUACAGAAGAAGCACCGGCUAACUCCGUGCCAGCAGCCGCGGUAAUACGGAGGGUGCGAGCGUUAAUCGGAAUUACUGGGCGUAAAGCGCAUGCAGGCGGCCUGUUAAGUCAGAUGUGAAAGCCCGGGGCUUAACCUCGGAAUUGCAUUUGAAACUGGCAGGCUAGAGUCUUGUAGAGGGGGGUAGGAAUUUCAGGUGUAGCGGUGAAAUGCGUAGAGAUCUGAAGGAAUACCAGUGGCGAAGGCGGCCCCCUGGACAAAGACUGACGCUCAGAUGCGAAAGCGUGGGGAGCAAACAGGAUUAGAUACCCUGGUAG